GCACCCUUAGCUCAGCUGGAUAGAGCAUCUGACUACGAAUCAGAAGGUCGGGCGUUCGAAUCGCUCAGGGUGCACCA
rnacentral:tRNA from 1 species